GACGAACGCUGGCGGCGUGCUUAACACAUGCAAGUCGAACGGAAAGGCCCUGCUUUUGUGGGGUGCUCGAGUGGCGAACGGGUGAGUAACACGUGAGUAACCUGCCCUUGACUUUGGGAUAACUUCAGGAAACUGGGGCUAAUACCGGAUAGGAGCUCCUGCUGCAUGGUGGGGGUUGGAAAGUUUCGGCGGUUGGGGAUGGACUCGCGGCUUAUCAGCUUGUUGGUGGGGUAGUGGCUUACCAAGGCUUUGACGGGUAGCCGGCCUGAGAGGGUGACCGGCCACAUUGGGACUGAGAUACGGCCCAGACUCCUACGGGAGGCAGCAGUGGGGAAUAUUGCACAAUGGGCGGAAGCGUGAUGCAGCAACGCCGCGUGCGGGAUGACGGCCUUCGGGUUGUAAACCGCUUUCGCCUGUGACGAAGCGUGAGUGACGGUAAUGGGUAAAGAAGCACCGGCUAACUACGU
rnacentral:rRNA from 1 species